CGGGCGGACGGGUGAGUAACACGUGGAUAACCUACCUAUAAGACUGGGAUAACUUCGGGAAACCGGAGCUAAUACCGGAUAAUAUAUUGAACCGCAUGGUUCAAUAGUGAAAGACGGUUUUGCUGUCACUUAUAGAUGGAUCCGCGCCGCAUUAGCUAGUUGGUAGGGUAACGGCUUACCAAGGCACGAUGCGUAGCCGACCUGAGAGGGUGAUCGGCCACACUGGAACUGAGACACGGUCCAG
rnacentral:rRNA from 1 species